AUACGGAGGGUACAAGCGUUAAUCGGAAUUACUGGGCGUAAAGCGCGCGUAGGCGGCUUAUCAAGUUAGGCGUGAAAGGCCUGGGCUCAACCCGGGAACUGCGCUUAAUACUGGUAGACUUGAGUCCGGGAGAGGGUGGCGGAAUUCCCAGUGUAGAGGUGAAAUUCGUAGAUAUUGGGAAGAACACCAGUGGCGAAGGCGGCCACCUGGCCCGGUACUGACGCUGAGGUGCGAAAGCGUGGGGAGCAAACAGGAUUAGAUACCCCGGUAGUCC
rnacentral:rRNA from 1 species